rnacentral:rRNA from 1 species
UACGAAGGGGGCUAGCGUUGCUCGGAAUUACUGGGCGUAAAGCGCACGUAGGCGGCCAGGUAGGUCUGCUGUGAAAAUUCGAGGCUCAACCUCGAGACGUCGGCGGAAACCAUCUGGCUAGAGUCCGGAAGAGGAGAGUGGAAUUCCUGGUGUAGCGGUGAAAUGCGCAGAUAUCAGGAAGAACACCCGUGGCGAAGGCGGCUCUCUGGGACGGUACUGACGCUGAGGUGCGAAAGCGUGGGGAGCAAACAGG